AGGUCCGCAGCACCUGCUGUUCCUCUGCAGAAGGAGCAGGUUCAGAAUC
rfam:PREDICTED: Aplysia californica X-box-binding protein 1 (LOC101852940), mRNA